AGUGAACGCUGGCGGCAGGCCUAACACAUGCAAGUCGAGCGGCAGCGCGGGUAGCAAUACCUGGCGGCGAGCGGCGGACGGGUGAGGAAUACAUCGGAAUCUACCUUGUCGUGGGGGAUAACGUAGGGAAACUUACGCUAAUACCGCAUACGACCGAGAGGUGAAAGUGGGGGACCGCAAGGCCUCACGCGACUAGAUGA
rnacentral:rRNA from 1 species